rnacentral:tRNA from 1 species
GGAUGUCGCCAAGCGGUAAGGCACAGGACUUUGACUCCUGCACGCGUAGGUUCGAAUCCUGCCAUCCC